GAUGAACGCUGGCGGCGUGCCUAAUACAUGCAAGUCGAGCGAACAGAUAAGGAGCUUGCUCCUUUGACGUUAGCGGCGGACGGGUGAGUAACACGUGGGUAACCUACCUAUAAGACUGGAAUAACUCCGGGAAACCGGGGCUAAUGCCGGAUAACAUUUAGAACCGCAUGGUUCUAAAGUGAAAGUUGGUUUUGCUAUCACUUAUAGAUGGACCCGCGCCGUAUUAGCUAGUUGGUAAGGUAACGGCUUACCAAGGCAACGAUACGUAGCCGACCUGAGAGGGUGAUCGGCCACACUGGAACUGAGACACGGUCCAGACUCCUACGGGAGGCAGCAGUAGGGAAUCUUCCGCAAUGGGCGAAAGCCUGACGGAGCAACGCCGCGUGAGUGAUGAAGGUCUUCGGAUCGUAAAACUCUGUUAUUAGGGAAGAACAAAUGUGUAAGUAACUGUGCACGUCUUGACGGUACCUAAUCAGAAAGCCACGGCUAACUACGUG
rnacentral:rRNA from 1 species